rnacentral:rRNA from 1 species
AUUGAACGCUGGCGGCAGGCUUCACACAUGCAAGUCGAGCGGGGUGAUGGUGCUUGCACUAUCACUUAGCGGCGGACGGGUGAGUAAUGCUUAGGAAUCUGCCUAUUAGUGGGGGACAACAUCUCGAAAGGGAUGCUAAUACCGCAUACGUCCUACGGGAGAAAGCAGGGGAUCACUUGUGACCUUGCGCUAAUAGAUGAGCCUAAGUCGGAUUAGCUAGUUGGUGGGGUAAAGGCCUACCAAGGCGACGAUCUGUAGCGGGUCUGAGAGGGUGAUCCGCGAAACUGGCACUGAGACACGGACGAGACUCCUGCGGGGGGCAGCAGUGGGGAAUAUUGGACAAUGGGGGGAACCCUGAUCUAGCCAUGCCGCGUGUGUGAAGAGGGCCUUAUGGUUGUAAAGCACUUUAAGCGAGGAGGAGGCUCUUUUGGUUAAUACCCAAGAUGAGUGGACGUUACGCGCAGAAUAAGCACCGGCUAACUCUGUGCCAGCAGCCGCGGUAA